rnacentral:rRNA from 1 species
AUUGAACGCUGGCGGCAGGCCUAACACAUGCAAGUCGAGCGGAUGAAGGGAGCUUGCUCCUGGAUUCAGCGGCGGACGGGUGAGUAAUGCCUAGGAAUCUGCCUGGUAGUGGGGGAUAACGUCCGGAAACGGGCGCUAAUACCGCAUACGUCCUGAGGGAGCAAGUGGGGGAUCUUCGGACCUCACGCUAUCAGAUGAGCCUAGGUCGGAUUAGCUAGUUGGUGGGGUAAAGGCCUACCAAGGCGACGAUCCGUAACUGGUCUGAGAGGAUGAUCAGUCACACUGGAACUGAGACACGGUCAAGACUCCUAAGGGAGGCAGCAGUGGGGAAUAGUGGACAAUGGGCGAAAGCCUGAUCCAGCCAUGCCGCGUGUGUGAAGAAGGUCUUCGGAUUGUAAAGCACUUUAAGUUGGGAGGAAGGGCAGUAAGUUAAUACGUUGCUGUUUUGACGGUACCAACAGAAUAAGCACCGGCUAACUUCGUG